rnacentral:lncRNA from 10 species
UGGAAAAUCCUAGUUGCUCAAGAGCUGUUUGUUCAGGGAAUGAUGAAAGAUGACAUAGUCCUUUACUUGGAUGGGCGUAGGAUCCAAGCACAGAUGCUGGUUAUGCAGCUGCUGCAUGCUGAAGAACUCCCUUCAAGACUGCAUCCCAUGUAGUAGCCCUCUCUGUAAAGUAAGUAUGGUGUCCGUCACUUGCAUAAACCAUAGGCUGGUCACCAGCCAGCUGGUUGAGCCAGAAGGUCCUGGUAUCCGG